rnacentral:lncRNA from 1 species
UCUUGAUGUGGCGGCUGCCGCUGGGUCUCACAGGAAGUUCCCGUCCAUUCAGGUUAGCAAGCUUGUCUAGGAUGUCAUUUAACUGCUGGCUGUGCAACAAUCCAAUAUGCGAUUUUCCCAUCAGACGACGCACCUUUUUCCUAAUAUCAUUCUUAUUCACCUUUAUCAUAAGCAUAUAAGCAAUCAUAUUAUGUAGCAGCGUAGCCAAUAAGCGGUCCUCAUCAUCCUCCAAACGUUUUCGAUCAUGUUCUCCCAGGGAAAGAUACCUGUCAAUCAUCUCCUGGGGUCCCUG